UGAGAGGCCUUCUGGAGCAGAAAGAGGCUGCAGGGAGGUAGUGUGCAACUCUGCAGUCACUUUUGAUAGCAGAGAGCCCUGAAGAGAACAGGAAGGAGCCUGGAGGACCAGGACGAAGUCCAGUGAAGGUGAGAUCGUGGGAAGACAUAGGAUUGGAGCAAGCUCGGGGGGAAGCCUGAAGAAAGGCUACUGGUGGGAAGGAGUCCAGGGAAGCAGCAGCAAGGUAUCUGACAGAUCACAACACGGCUGCUCAGCCUAGGGUCCCCAGACUGGAACCCAGUGUAGCAGAUAGGUCUGGGUUCCCCAUCAGCCGCUGGGAAGGUAGCAUGAAGCCCCCUGACAAAAGGGAUGAGGAUGAUUUAAAGCCCUGAGCGAAGGGGUGCAGAAACCUUGGGUCCAGAGCUAGGGACUGAAAACAAGAUGUAAGGAUGGGGAUGACUGAUUGUUGGACUUUGUUGUGGGGCUAAAUGUGACCUCGGAGGAGGACCAAACCAUGAGAAGAGAGACCACCACAGGACUGGAGUGACUGCCAGCAGUGGAUGCUAGAGAGGAAAGAGCUGCUGUGCCCGUGCCCGUGCCCAUGCCCAGCCAUGAGGGGGCGAACCAGAGCACGGGGUGGAAUGGAUUCUGUGCUUGGGCAGGCAGCUUUUCAGGGCAGUUUUGCAAGACAUCCCCAGCUAUUUCAAAACCAAAGCUCACAGGAAAGCGGAAACCCCCUUUCAUAGUUUCUUCCUGCGUCCAUUAAGCCGACACUGAAGAGUUAACCAGCCGGGCUAGCUUGGAGAACUGCUGUGGAGAUGUGUGCUGAGGCCAGCACCCCUGGCCAAUGCCUCAGACUUUCCGACGCAGCUAGAUUGCAACAGAUGUUAAAGCUACAUGUCAAACGCUGAGUAGAAAGAAAUGAAUCAUUUGCCUUUUCAUUCAUCAAGAUGUAAUGACUUCACCUUUUACUGGAGCCGUAAAACACUCCUCUCCCAAAGAGUAAAUGAAAGAUCCAGGCUGUGGUCUUUCUUGGGCUGACACUUCAUAUCAUUUGUUCAUAAUUAACUUUUUGCUACUGUGUUUAAUAAAUCCAUAGAGUUCAAUCUGAGCAAUGUUACUAAUGUCAUAAUAUGAAGUAACAAAAAUACUGCCCAGCUCUUUUUAAUGGUGAUUCUCAU